rnacentral:rRNA from 1 species
UGCCGCGUGUGUGAAGAAGGCCUUCGGGUUGUAAAGCACUUUCAGUCGUGAGGAAGGCGGUGUAGUUAAUAGCUGCAUCGUUUGACGUUAGCGACAGAAGAAGCACCGGCUAACUCCGUGCCAGCAGCCGCGGUAAUACGGAGGGUGCGAGCGUUAAUCGGAAUUACUGGGCGUAAAGCGCAUGCAGGUGGUUUGUUAAGUCAGAUGUGAAAGCCCGGGGCUCAACCUCGGAAUUGCAUUUGAAACUGGCAGACUAGAGUACUGUAGAGGGGGGUAGAAUUUCAGGUGUAGCGGUGAAAUGCGUAGAGAUCUGAAGGAAUACCGGUGGCGAAGGCGGCCCCCUGGACAGAUACUGACACUCAGAUGCGAAAGCGUGGGGAGCAAACAGGAUUAGAUACCCUGGUAGUCCACGCCGUAAACGAUGUCUACUUGGAGGUUGUGGCCUUGAGCCGUGGCUUUCGGAGCUAACGCGUUAAGUAGACCGCCUGGGGAGUACGGUCGCAAGAUUAAAACUCAAAUGAAUUGACGGGGGCCCGCACAAGCGGUGGAGCAUGUGGUUUAAUUCGAUGCAACGCGAAGAACCUUACCUACUCUUGACAUCCAGAGAACUUUCCAGAGAUGGAUUGGUGCCUUCGGGAACUCUGAGACAGGUGCUGCAUGGCUGUCGUCAGCUCGUGUUGUGAAAUGUUGGGUUAAGUCCCGCAACGAGCGCAACCCUUAUCCUUGUUUGCCAGCGAGUAAUGUCGGGAACUCCAGGGAGACUGCCGGUGAUAAACCGGAGGAAGGUGGGGACGACGUCAAGUCAUCAUGGCCCUUACGAGUAGGGCUACACACGUGCUACAAUGGCGCAUACAGAGGGCGGCCAACUUGCGAAAGUGAGCGAAUCCCAAAAAGUGCGUCGUAGUCCGGAUUGGAGUCUGCAACUCGACUCCAUGAAGUCGGAAUCGCUAGUAAUCGUGGAUCAGAAUGCCACGGUGAAUACGUUCCCGGGCCUUGUACACACCGCCCGUCACACCAUGGGAGUGGGCUGCAAAAGAAGUAGGUAGUUUAACCUUCGGGGGGACGCUUACCACUUUGUGGUUCAUGACUGGGGUGAAGUCGUAACAAGGUAGCGCUAGGGGAACCUGGCGCUGGAUCACCUCCUUA